ensembl:lncRNA
CUUCCAGCAGCAUAGUGUGACAGAAGACCCAACCUAUAAACAGUUUAUUGCAUGUCUCCCCUCCGUUUGUUUUCCGUUUUUUUUUCUUUCCAUUGUGUAUGGAUCCCUACAGCAGCCCAGAAUUCCUCUUCCUUCUGCUGGAGCAGGGGGGCAUUCGCUCGAGGGUCAUACCAGACUGUUUCUGACCAUAGCCCAUCUUACCACCUACCUGGACGACGCGCUACGCUCGUUCUGUGACCCCAGACAGAUUUUGCCACCUUCGUGGAGUGGAUUCUGGUGAGAAACAGAUCGCCAAUCACCAUCGGCCCCAAGGAGGAUCUCGCCGAAUCCACUCCAGCCCCAGUGCCCAGCCUACCAUCUCCCCAUGGUUCGCAGCAUCAGCCCGAACCCACCAAUGAUGGAGAGGCCAUUACUUCCGCAAUCAAUGAGCCAGCGCAGUGCCGAGCAACUGAGUGGAGGAUUGCCCUGGAUUUGGAGCCCAACCCAUCAGACCAGGUGCGAGAGCAGCUACAGUGCCCACCGCAAGGGAGAGAGAUGCGGACGGUGUGAGCGCAGAGAGGAGCUCCGCCCCCUGCAUCGCAGCUGAGGGGGGGGGGGGGGGGGGUGGGCGAGUAUGGAGUGCCAAAAGGGCUAAAAUGAGGAAGAGGAUCUUAUAGACUGAGAAUCUGAACUGGAGUUUAAACUGCCCCCUCUCCUCUCUCCGUUGUCUUCGCUGGUCCCAUCCAUCCCUCCUUCGUCCUUGGUUUCCUCGUCCAGCCCUGAGGGGGCUCCGAUCCUCCAGUGCCCGCUCCUCGAAAAUGCCCGCCCUCCCACCUGCUCCUGCCUCCUCCACCGCUGUCGUCAGGCCCCUCUGCUUGCCCUCAGCCCACCAUCUAUGCGAUACGAGGCCCGCAGGACUGCCAUCCUCCAGCGUCGCCAUGGUUGGAGUCUCCCUCACCUCCGCCUCCAGCCUCCAAGGCCCGGACUCCGCCUCGGCCCGUAGUCCCAGUGGCUCCACCUCAGCUCCUAACUCCCUCACCUCCACCGUCAACCAUCGAUCCAUCAGCUCCACUGGGCCCCCUCUUCCCUCCGGCUCUGCCUUGGUCGGGCGUCGACCCGCCAUCACCAAUGGACUCCUCUCCACUGGCUGCGCCUAGUUGCUCAUCCCACCAGCUCCGUUGGGCUCCUUCCUCCUGCCAGCUCCACCUUGGUCCUCAGUCGCAUUGGCCCUCGGCUCCACCCUGGCCCCCUGGAUCCUCGGCAUCCCCCUGGCUCAUUGGAUCUCCGUCUCCUCCUCGGGCUCCUCCUCCACCUGCUCCGCCACAUUGGUCGCCCCCCUGUGGACAAGUUCCUCCUGUCUCCUCCCUCCGUCAUCUCCUCCCUGGCUCCUCCCUCCAUGGUCUCUGUCUGCCGGUCCCCUCCCGGGGGUCCAUCCUCCACCGGAACCUCCCAAGUUCCCACCCACACCUCCCUCUGUUGUUACUACUGUGCGAGGACGCAACUUUCGGGAGGGGGCGCUAUGUCAGGAUUAUGGACUGGUCUGUUUGUGUUUUUGCCCCUGUGACCCAGUUUUGUCUUCCAAUUGAUUGUGUUAAUUUGAUCCCAGGUGUGUCUCAUUCUUCCCCAAUUAUCCUGCCUUUAAAAACCCUAGUCCUUUUCAGUUCAGUUUUGUCGGGUCUACCAGUCAAGUACGUGUGUCUUCCUCCUGUUCUCCAUGUUGGAUUUACCCCUGUGUUGCAUUAAUAAAGACUAUUGCGAUUAUCCUUGGCUCCGUGCUCCUUCCGGCAGCUAAAAUGUAUUGUCUUGCUUAUUGAUAAUUAACUGAACAUCAACUCUGCAUUGACACACAUUUAAAGGACAGGACAUUGUGUGUGUAGCAACAACACUUUUUUCAGCUGGACUUUCCCAGAAGGACACAAUAAUUCCAGUAAUACACCCGUUAUUAUGCAACAUGUUCCAUUAUAUAAAUAGCUUUGAUAUUCCUGCACAGGUAUGACUGAAAUUCCUGAACAUCAAUCAGGAAGCAGCACGUUUUUGUUCCUUAUUAUUUCCACUCAGUUCUCAAUCACAGCGAUCUUGACCUACUCGUAUUGCAAAGAUGGAGCAAUUUCCAACAGAAUGGCAUCAUUUCCAUUAAAGUCACCCAGCGAGGGUCUGGAUAUCUCAAAACACAAUAAAACCAACAGCAGGAGCUCAAGGGUUGCAGGAACACAGCUUGUUAAUUAGAAAACUACACAUGGACAUUCCUUUACUACUGCGCUGUGUCCCAAGAGAGAGGACACUAAAGAGAAGGGAAACAGAGGGUGACAUUUGUUAGUUUAGGGGCUCAGAUAGGCCGGUGUUAGUUGGAACAGUUGAGAAACAUCAAGAGUAUCAUGGUGAAAGGUGUUUGGUACCUCA